rnacentral:rRNA from 1 species
UAGUAACACGUGGAUAACCUACCUAUAAGACUGGGAUAACUACGGGAAACCGGAGCUAAUACCGGAUAAUAUAUUGAACCGCAUGGUUCAAUAGUGAAAGACGGCUUUGCUGUCACUUAUAGAUGGAUCCGCGCCGCAUUAGCUAGUUGGUAAGGUAACGGCUUACCAAGGCAACGAUGCGUAGCCGACCUGAGAGGGUGAUCGGCCACACUGUAACUGAGACACGGUCCAG